UACUAGAGUAGCACUCGCAUAUCAAUAAGCGGAGGAAAAGAAACUAACAAGGAUUCCCCUAGUAACGGCGAGUGAAGCGGGAAGAGCUCAAAUUUGAAAUCUUAAAGGGUUUCCCUUUACGAAUUGUAGUUUAAAGAAGUGUUUUCUGUUGAGGUUUUGGUAAAAGUUCUUUGGAAUAGGACAUCAUAGAGGGUGAGAAUCCCGUAUUUGACCUUUACUUUCAACUUUGUGAUACACUUUCAAAGAGUCGGAUUGUUUGGGAAUGCAGUCCAAAGUGGGUGGUAAAUUUCAUCUAAAGCUAAAUAUUGGCGAGAGACCGAUAGCGAACAAGUACCGUGAGGGAAAGAUGAAAAGAACUUUGAAAAGAGAGUUAAACAGUACGUGAAAUUGUCAAAAGGGAAGCGUUUGACACCAGUGUUGUUUUUCUGAAAAUCAAUUAAAGAACUGUUUAUGCUAAGCUUGUUUAGACUUUAUCAGCUAAUCUGUUUAGUUUUGAGCUUUUCUUUAAUGCACUUUUCAGUUAACAAGUCAACAUCAAUUUCUUUUGCUGUAAAAAAGCUUGAGGAAGGUGGCUUGAGAUUCGUCUUAAGUGUUUAUAGCCUCUUGCCUAUGCAGUCGGAGAGAUUGAGGUCUGCAGCGUAGAUCCUUCGGGGCUAAAUGCAUUUGUGCUAAGUUAUAGCAUUUUAUAGACAACUUGUUGACUAUGAUUUGUCUUGUAGCUUACUCGCUUAUGUUAUUUUACCUACGCUUAGGAUGUUGAGCGCAUGUCUCUCUCU
rnacentral:rRNA from 1 species